rnacentral:rRNA from 1 species
AUUGAACGCUGGCGGCAGGCUUAACACAUGCAAGUCGAACGAGUGGCGGACGGGUGAGUAAUGCUUGGGAAUCUAGCUUAUGGAGGGGGAUAACUACGGGAAACUUUAGCUACUACCGCUUACCGUGGGAUGGGCCCAAGUGGGAUUAGGUAGUUGGUGAGGUAAAGGCUCACAAAGCCGACGAUCUCUCGCUGGUCUGAGAGGAUGACCAGCCACACUGGGACUGAGACACGGCCCAGACUCCUACGGGAGGAAGCAGUGGGGAAUAUUGCGCAAUGGGGGCAACCUGACGCAGCCAUGCCGCGUGAAUGAAGAAGGCCUUCGGGUUGUAAAGUUCUUUCGGUAGCGAGGCGUUAACUACAGAAGAAGCACCGGCUAACUCCGUGCCAGCAGCCGCGGUAAUUC